rnacentral:rRNA from 1 species
CGGUAAUUCCUUGCUCCAAUAGCGUAUACUAAAGUUGUUGCAGUUAAAAAGCUCGUAGUUGGAUUUCUGCGGGGACGGAGCGGCCGGACGCAACUUGCGUCUCGAGCUAGCGCUUUCCCCGCAUCCUGCCGCGAACCGUGCUACCAUUAGUUUGGUGGCGCUGGGGAUCGGCUCGAUUACUUUGAGAAAAAUAGAGUGUUCAAAGCAGGCCACACGCCUUGAAUAAGUUAGCAUGGAAUAAUGACUAAGGACUUUGGUUCUUUUCGUUGGUGUUCGGGACUGAAGUAAUGAUUGAUAGGGACAGUUGGGGCGGUCCGUAUUCCAAAGCGAGAGGUGAAAUUCUUAGACCUUCGGAAGACGAACAGCUGCGAAAGCGUUCCGCAAGGAUGUUCCCUUUGAUCAGGAACGAAAGUUGGGGGAUCGAAGACGAUCAGAUACCGUCGUAGUCUCAACUAUAAACUAUACCAGCUAGGGAUCGGCCAACGUUUAAUUAUUCGACUUGGUCGGCACCUUAUGAGAAAUCAAAGCAUCUGGGUUCCGGGAGGAGUAUGGUCGCAAGGCUGAAACUUAAAGGAAUUGACGGAAGGGCACCACCAGGCGUGGAGCCUGUGGCUUAAUUUGACUCAACACGGGAAAACUUACCAGGUCCAGACAUAGGAAGGAUUGACAGAUUGAUAGCUCUUUCUUGAUUCUGUGGGUGGUGGUGCAUGGCCGUUUUUAGUCGGUGAAGUGAUUUGUCUGCUUAAUUGCGUUAACGGACGAGACCCCAGCCUGCUAAAUAGCGCGGCCGAGCUUUGCUCGGUACGAGCUUCUUAGAGGGACCAUGAUGCGCGAUAGCACAAGGAAGUUUGGGGCAACAACAGGUCUGUGAUGCCCUUAGAUGUUCUGGGCCGCACACGGGCUACACUGGCGCCUGCAACGAGCAUAUCAGCUGGCCCGAGAGGGUCUCGGCUAAUCUUUGGAACCGGCGCCGUGCUUGGGAUUGACCAUUGCAAUUGUUGGUCAUGCAACGAGGAAUGCCUUGUAAACGCGAGUCAUCAGCUCGCAUUGAAUACGUCCCUGCCCUUUGUACACACCGCCCGUCGCUCCUACCGAUGAAUGUUCCGAUGAAAUUUUCGGAGAGCGCCGGAGAACGGGGCUCUGCCCUGCAGAACUGGAGGCUCAAAGUCACUUAAAUCUGAACAUUUCGAGGAAGGAGAAGUCGUAACAAGGUAACC